CGGGUGAGUAACGCGUAUCCAACCUUCCGUACACUCAGGGAUAGCCUUUCGAAAGAAAGAUUAAUACCCGAUGGUAUGAUGAGAUUGCAUGAUAGCAUCAUUAAAGAUUUAUCGGUGUACGAUGGGGAUGCGUUCCAUUAGGUAGUAGGCGGGGUAACGGCCCACCUAGCCGACGAUGGAUAGGGGUUCUGAGAGGAAGGUCCCCCACAUUGGAACUGAGACACGGUCCAAACUCCUACGGGAGGCAGCAGUGAGGAAUAUUGGUCAAUGGACGAGAGUCUGAACCAGCCAAGUAGCGUGAAGGAUGAAGGUCCUACGGAUUGUAAACUUCUUUUAUAAGGGAAUAAAACCUCCCACGUGUGGGAGCUUGUAUGUACCUUAUGAAUAAGCAUCGGCUAACUCCGUGCCAGCAGCCGCGGUAAUACGGAGGAUGCGAGCGUUAUCCGGAUUUAUUGGGUUUAAAGGGAGCGCAGACGGGUCGUUAAGUCAGCUGUGAAAGUUUGGGGCUCAACCUUAAAAUUGCAGUUGAUACUGGCGUCCUUGAGUGCGGUUGA
rnacentral:rRNA from 1 species